UCCUUUGUUUCUCCAAGCUUCAACCUUAUGACUUAAUCCAAUAGUGCUUAAAGGACACUUCCACAGAAAAUAAUGAGAUUUUGCAUUUCUAUAUUGAUUUGAUACUCAAAAAAUUGAUCUUGAUCAUCCAUUGUUUUUUAGAAAAUCUACCAACAGAAAAGAAAAGAUUAAUAAAGCAUCACGCAAAAAAAGAAAAACUUCCAAAAACUAUAAUUAUACACAUCAAU
rnacentral:lncRNA from 1 species